GUACCUGCGGAGGGAUCAUUACUGAGUUUACGCUCUAUAACCCUUUGUGAACAUACCUAUAACUGUUGCUUCGGCGGGUAGGGUCUCCGUGACCCUCCCGGCCUCCCGCCCCCGGGCGGGUCGGCGCCCGCCGGAGGAUAACCAAACUCUGAUUUAACGACGUUUCUUCUGAGUGGUACAAGCAAAUAAUCAAAACUUUUAACAACGGAUCUCUUGGUUCUGGCAUCGAUGAAGAACGCAGCGAAAUGCGAUAAGUAAUGUGAAUUGCAGAAUUCAGUGAAUCAUCGAAUCUUUGAACGCACAUUGCGCCCGCCAGCAUUCUGGCGGGCAUGCCUGUUCGAGCGUCAUUUCAACCCUCAAGCUCUGCUUGGUGUUGGGGCCCUACAGCUGAUGUAGGCCCUCAAAGGUAGUGGCGGACCCUCCCGGAGCCUCCUUUGCGUAGUAACUUUACGUCUCGCACUGGGAUCCGGAGGGACUCUUGCCGUAAAACCCCCCAAUUUCCAAAGGUGACCUCGGAUCAGUAGAUCAU
rnacentral:rRNA from 1 species